UGAAGAAGUUGCUUUCGGGGCUGUGCGGC
rnacentral:piRNA from 1 species